rnacentral:rRNA from 1 species
GAUGAACGCUGGCGGCGUGCCUAAUACAUGCAAGUCGAGCGAACGGACGAGAAGCUUGCUUCUCUGAUGUUAGCGGCGGACGGGUGAGUAACACGUGGAUAACCUACCUAUAAGACUGGGAUAACUUCGGGAAACCGGAGCUAAUACCGGAUAAUAUUUUGAACCGCAUGGUUCAAAAGUGAAAGACGGUCUUGCUGUCACUUAUAGAUGGAUCCGCGCUGCAUUAGCUAGUUGGUAAGGUAACGGCUUACCAAGGCAACGAUGCAUAGCCGACCUGAGAGGCUGAUCGGCCACACUGGAACUGAGACACGGUCCAGACUCCUACGGGAGGCAGCAGUAGGGAAUCUUCCGCAAUGGGCGAAAGCCUGACGGAGCAACGCCGCGUGAGUGAUGAAGGUCUUCGGAUCGUAAAACUCUGUUAUUAGGGAAGAACAUAUGUGUAAGUAACUGUGCACAUCUUGACGGUACCUAAUCAGAAAGCCACGGCUAACUACGUG